rfam:Stagonospora sp. SRC1lsM3a unplaced genomic scaffold IQ06scaffold_7, whole genome shotgun sequence.
GGGCUUGUGGUCUAGUGGUAUGAUUUUCCCUUAGCAUGGGAGAGGUCCGGGGUUCAAUUCCCCGCGAGUCCA